rnacentral:rRNA from 1 species
AGGUAAUUUCUUUUUUCUCCUGAAGAAAGAAUGAAAGACGGAGCAAUCUGUCACUGAGGGAUGGGCCUGCGGCGCAUUAGCUAGUUGGUGGGGUAACGGCCCACCAAGGCGACGAUGCGUAGCCGACCUGAGAGGGUGAACGGCCACACUGGGACUGAGACACGGCCCAGACUCCUACGGGAGGCAGCAGUAGGGAAUCUUCCGCAAUGGACGAAAGUCUGACGGAGCAACGCCGCGUGAGUGAUGAAGGUUUUCGGAUCGUAAAGCUCUGUUGCCAGGGAAGAACGUCCGGUAGAGUAACUGCUAUCGGAGUGACGGUACCUGAGAAGAAAGCCCCGGCUAACUACGUGCCAGCAGCCGCGGUAAUACGUAGGGGGCAAGCGUUGUCCGGAAUUAUUGGGCGUAAAGCGCGCGCAGGCGGUCAUUUAAGUCUGGUGUUUAAACCUUGGGCUCAACCUGAGGUCGCACUGGAAACUGGGUGACUUGAGUACAGAAGAGGAAAGUGGAAUUCCACGUGUAGCGGUGAAAUGCGUAGAUAUGUGGAGGAACACCAGUGGCGAAGGCGACUUUUCUGGGCUGUAACUGACG